rnacentral:snoRNA from 1 species
AUUCCAUGAUAAGGGCACUUCCAUAAUAAUUCUUUGUACAUUUUCCAUGCCUCAUACAAGGACUUAUCAUCCAUUUGUUGGAAGGCAGUGAUCUCGUUCCUCAACUU